rnacentral:rRNA from 1 species
UACGUAGGGUGCGAGCGUUAAUCGGAAUUACUGGGCGUAAAGCGUGCGCAGGCGGUUUUGUAAGUCUGACGUGAAAUCCCCGGGCUUAACCUGGGAAUUGCGUUGGAGACUGCAAGGCUGGAGUCUGGCAGAGGGGGGUAGAAUUCCACGUGUAGCAGUGAAAUGCGUAGAGAUGUGGAGGAACACCGAUGGCGAAGGCAGCCCCUUGGGUCAAGACUGACGCUCAUGCACGAAAGCGUGGGGAGCAAACAGG